UACAGAGGUGGCAAGCGUUGUUCGGAAUUACUGGGCGUAAAGGGCGCGUAGGCGGUUCGUUAAGUCCUGUGUGAAAUCCCCCGGCUCAACUGGGGAACUGCACAGGAAACUAGCGGGCUUGAGUUCGGGAGAGGGAAGCGGAAUUCCGGGUGUAGCGGUGGAAAUGCGUAGAUAUCCGGAGGAACACCGGGUGGCGAAGGCGGCUUCCUGGACCGACACUGACGCUGAGGCGCGAAAGCUAGGGGGAGCAAACGGGG
rnacentral:rRNA from 1 species